GACGAACGCUGGCGGCGUGCCUAAUACAUGCAAGUUGAGCGAUGAAGAUUGGUGCUUGCACCAAUUUGAAGAGCAGCGAACGGGUGAGUAACGCGUGGGGAAUCUGCCUUUGAGCGGGGGACAACAUUUGGAAACGAAUGCUAAUACCGCAUAACAACUUUAAACAUAAGUUUUAAGUUUGAAAGAUGCAAUUGCAUCACUCAAAGAUGAUCCCGCGUUGUAUUAGCUAGUUGGUGAGGUAAAGGCUCACCAAGGCGAUGAUACAUAGCCGACCUGAGAGGGUGAUCGGCCACAUUGGGACUGAGUCACGGCCCAAACUCCUACGGGAGGCAGCAGUAGGGAAUCUUCGGCAAUGGACGAAAGUCUGGCCGAGCAACGCCGCGUGAGUGAAGAAGGUUUUCGGAUCGUAAAACUCUGUUGGUAGAGAAGAACGUUGGUGAGAGUGGAAAGCUCAUCAAGUGACGGUAACUACCCAGAAAGGGACGGCUAACUACGUG
rnacentral:rRNA from 1 species